CUCCGCUCCGCCGGCGGAGGGAGCAGCGCCGUCUCCCCGGCUGCGGCAGCGGGAGGGGGCUGGGGACGGCCAUCCCCAGGGAGACGGGACGCGGCAAAUCAAGAGCAUGAGAUGCUGGAAAAAGAAAUGUUUCUAAUGCAGGAAUCCAUCUACAGAACUAUUUGAAGUAUCUAUUCCAGGCUGCAAGCACAUGAAACAAUGUUGGAAAGAAGUGCAGUUGCUCAAGAAAGUGUGGGAUAUUUGUGUUUAUAUUAAUAGCAGCAUUGAUGAUUGGGCUAAAACCCAGUGGAGAGAGAUUAAUGUGGAACAGAUGGAUGUGCAGCUCAGAAGGUUUGCCAAGGC